rnacentral:misc_RNA from 1 species
UUUCCGUAGGUGAACCUGCGGAAGGAUCAUUAAAAAAUUGGACUCCAUUGGUGAGUUCAUUAAUAAUCCCUACCCUUUGUGAAUUUGUUUGUUUGAAUAAUUUUUUUUCCAAAAAAAAUUAUUGAAUGUCUUUCCUUGUUUUGGUGGAGCUUGUAAAGUGAAACCAGGCAGGGGAAUGGCAAACAAUAAUUAUUUUUGAAAAAGACCCUUUUUUAAAAUUAAACUUUUUGUAUUCAUUUGUCUAAAAUUAAUUUUUAUAAUAUAAAAACAACUUUUGACAAUGGAUCUCUUGGUUCUCGCAACGAUGAAGAACGCAGCAAAAUGCGAUAAGUAGUGUGAAUUGCAGAAUACGUGAAUCAUCGAAUCUUCGAACGCAUAUUGCACUUUUUUAGUUUACUAAAAAAGUAUGUCUGUUUGAGUAUCAGUAAAAUAUUCUCAUAAAAAACAUUGUUUUUUUUAUGGUUAUGAGUGUUUUACAACGAUAACAAGUUGUUUCACUUUAAAUUCUUUGUUAUCAAAAAAAUCAUUAAAAGCUAAUUUUAAAGAUUUUUUAAAAUUGGAUAAAAUUUUCCCGUAAAAAGGAAUAACCUAAACAAUUUUAAAAAAUUAAAAUUGGUUUGAUUUUUUUUGAAACCCAAAGGAAAAAAAAACGAAAUUAACUUGAUCUCAAAUCAGAUAAGAGUACCCGCUGAACUUAAGCAUAUCAAUAAGCGGAGGAAAAGAAACUAACUAGGAUUCCCUCAGUAACGGCGAGUGAAGCGGGAAGAGCUCAAAUUUGAAAUCUCCAAGGUUUUACCUUGACGAAUUGUAGUUUAAAGAAGUGUUUUCUGUUGGAGUUUUGGUAAAAGUUCUUUGGAAAAGGACAUCAUAGAGGGUGAGAAUCCCGUAUUUGACCAUUAUCUCCAGCUUUGUGAUACACUUUCAAAGAGUCGGAUUGUUUGGGAAUGCAGUCCAAAAUGGGUGGUAAAUUUCAUCUAAAGCUAAAUACUGGCGAGAGACCGAUAGCGAACAAGUACCGUGAGGGAAAGAUGAAAAGAACUUUGAAAAGAGAGUUAAACAGUACGUGAAAUUGUCAAAAGGGAAGCGUUUGACACCAGUGUUGUUUUCUCGAAAAUCAAUUAAAAAAGGCCGGAUUUUGUGUUGUAUUGACUUUAUCAGCUUUCUGCACUCUUUUCUUGUCUUUUUUAAUGCACUUUUCGUUUAACAAGUCAACAUCAAUCUCUUUUGUUGUAAAAGGGUCAUUGGAAGGUGGCUUUCUUUUCGGAGAAAGUGUUUAUAGCCUUUGGCCUCUGCAAUCGGAGAGAUUGAGGUCUGCAGCGUAGAUCCUUCGGGGUUAGAUACAUUUGUGCUAAGUUAUAGCCUUUCAUAGACAACUUGUUGACUAUGAUCAGUCAUGUAGCUUACUCGCUUAUGCUAUUUUACCUACGCUUAGGAUGUUG